CACACACAUACUCACACACUCACAGACACAUACUCACACACUUACAGACACAUACUCACACAAUCACAGACACACACUCACACACACUGACACACACAUACUCACACACUUACAGACACAUACUCACACAAUCACAGACACACACUCACACACACUGACACACACAUACUCACACACUCUCAGACACAUACUCACACACUCACAGACACUCACACUCACAGACACACACAUACUCAC